UUUAAUUAUCACAUAUAAAAGUGAAAAUAUAAAAUAUAAAUUAAUUUUAGUUGGGGCAACUGGGAGGGAUAAAAAUCUUUUAUUAAAUCAUUUAUAGUAAUAUUUAUAUUUAUGAUCCAAAUUAGUUAAUUUUGAACUUAGAAU
rnacentral:rRNA from 1 species